AUGAGAGCCAGCUGGCAGCUGCGCAGGCAGUACAUCAUUAACCUUGGCCAAGGGCUCCGUUUGACGGAGGUUACAGUUUCAAUCUGGGAAACCAGAUUCAGCUGGAGCAGCCUAGGGAGUGAUGGGCACAGGCAGGCAAGGAACUGCCCAACCAAAUCCACCACCCAUCCUCCCGCUGGUCCAUGGAACCCCAGCAUGGCAGAGAUAGAAGAUGAGAAAGCUAAAGUCCAAAGAAAUGAUGUGACACAAGCAAGAUCAUGCCUAUCCUCCAAGGCAGGGCUGAGAUUGAGCUCAAGAAGUCCAAGAAAUUUCAUUCAUUUAUGCCAGAAGUUCUGCAAUUUAUGUAUCGUGGACUCCUUUGGGCAAUGGAAUGAAACCUAA
rnacentral:lncRNA from 1 species